rnacentral:rRNA from 1 species
GACGAACGCUGGCGGCGUGCUUAACACAUGCAAGUCGAACGGAAAGGCCCUGCUUGCAGGGUGCUCGAGUGGCGAACGGGUGAGUAACACGUGGGUGAUCUGCCCCUUACUUUGGGAUAAGCCUGGGAAACUGGGUCUAAUACUGGAUAGGACCAUGCUGUAGGUGGUGUGGUGGAAAGAUUAGUUUCGGUAAGGGAUGAGCUCGCGGCCUAUCAGCUUGUUGGUGGGGUAAUGGCCUACCAAGGCGUCGACGGGUAGCCGGCCUGAGAGGGUGGACGGCCACAUUGGGACUGAGAUACGGCCCAGACUCCUACGGGAGGCAGCAGUGGGGAAUAUUGCACAAUGGGCGCAAGCCUGUUGCAGCGACGCCGCGUGGGGGAUGACGGCCUUCGGGUUGUAAACUCCUUUCAGCCAUGACGAAGCCCUUGUGGUGACGGUAGUGGUAGAAGAAGCACCGGCUAACUACGUG